AUUGAACGCUGGCGGCAUGCCUUACACAUGCAAGUCGAACGGCAGCACGGGAGCAAUCCUGGUGGCGAGUGGCGAACGGGUGAGUAAUAUAUCGGAACGUGCCCAGUCGUGGGGAUAACGUAGCGAAAGCUACGCUAAUACCGCAUACGAUCUAUGGAUGAAAGCGGGGGAUCGCAAGACCUCGCGCGAUUGGAGCGGCCGAUAUCAGAUUAGGUAGUUGGUGAGGUAAAGGCUCACCAAGCCGACGAUCUGUAGCUGGUCUGAGAGGACGACCAGCCACACUGGGACUGAGACACGGCCCAGACUCCUACGGGAGGCAGCAGUGGGGGAAUUUUUGGACAAUGGGCGCAAGCCUGAUCCAGCAAUGCCGCGUGCAGGAUGAAGGCCUC
rnacentral:rRNA from 1 species